rnacentral:tRNA from 1 species
GCCGAGUAGGCGGCGAGUUGUAGCCUCGUGUACGGGCGAACGUGUCCCCCAACCAG